UGCAUUAGCAAGCAAUCUUGAAGAAGUCAUGACAAUUCUCAUCCACUCACCAAUAUUCAUCUCAUGUGUGAGUUGGAAGAAGUACUCAUCUAACCUAUCUACAAUUUUUCUAGCAAUGUUUGAGGAUUAAAAACUCUAAUUCUAUACCAUCGAAAGCAAUUAAAUUGCAAAAAGGAAAAUAGACACAAAAGAAACACGCAAGAUUUAUAAAAGAUUGUCUCAAACGUAAGACUACGCCCUCUUACGCAACUGUAAUAACUCGCUAUGAUAAAAAAGAAAUUUACAAGAUAAAAUCGCAUAUCCUAUCUUCUCUGACAUCUCUCUCUUUUGAUGAUAAUAUAAGACCCUAAUAUUUAUAAGACAAAUUAGGGCAAACUCCAAGAGUUCAAUCCGUGUAUUGGCUCCUCACAGGGAAAUAAUUAGGAUCCACAACUUAACAGGAAUAUGUUAACACUUUUAAUGUUACACAGUAUAGCGAACUUCAACUUUCGUUGAUAGAUCAAUUUGAUUGAUUUUGCCACACUGGAAGCUGAAACAUGUGUAUUAGCUUAAAAGGAUUGAUUUUGCAAGUCCGAAAUAUGUAAUCUGCUGGCUGAGGUCUUUGUGAAUUAGAACCUAUGAAUUUUAACUAAUCUGUCACCUUUUUUCUUCUUGGGAAAGCUCUUCAACUGAAUCAUAUCUUCUUUAUAGCAAUUUCCUUUGCAUUGCAUCCCAAGAAAACCAUCGGGUCUAGCCACGUGACUCUCACCCGCUAUCGACAAAAUCAUGAAAAACACGUAUAUACAAAGAAGAGCGAACAAUAAGUAACAUUCAUUCAGAGAACACAAGCACUUUCUCGUGUAACUGACCUAUUGUUUUCCACUUGUGCAUCGUAGGGCGUAGAUGAAAAGCACUCUCGGCACACCACCUAACGUACGGUUGAGUGUGCAAGAGCAUUUUCUUUUUCAGGAAACAUAAUCUACCUGAAUCCCUCUUGUUAUAAAGGGAAGGAGGAAACCAAGUUUCAUUCUUUUGCAAAAUCGAAGUACAGACUCUUCCUCCCACGUCGCUCCUCUUUACUAGUUUAACAGCCUGAAAUGGUCCUUCAACUAACUAUUCUACUUUCGACCCAACUUCAUUCCUCAAAUCUUGACCGCCUUCUUUGUGCAAUCUCUAUCCACACCAUUGUCGCUGAGUUAGUUCAUCAACUCUAUAAAGAGAGAAUAAAAGUCAGGCAAAGUACGUGGAACUGAUUUUCAUGAUUGAAUUUUUAGGUUCUAAUUUCCUAAAUGAUUUGGUUUCUCCACUCCAUUUUUUAUGGUUUGUGUUAAAGGUGUUAAUAGUUUGCUGGAUGGCCCGUCCUCCAUGGCUGAACUGAAGCCUUUGUAACUCACGAGCUUAACGAGAGUGACCACUAGGAAGAAAUCAUAAUAUCCUUAUCACCUACAAAAACUGCCUAUUAUGAAGACUAGCCAGAAAUCCUUCUCAAAGUGGAGGGACUGAGAUUCUAGGAAGAAAGUUUUUCCCAAGGUUCGGCCCGAAAAUUGGAUUCAAUAUAUACUUGGUGACUAUUAUGGAGAAUAAAAGGGUGUCAGCAGGCUUUUUAAUUAGAAGGGAAUGAAUGGGAACAGGCUCUGUUGCCGAUAUUCCUUCUUAAGUCUAAUAGAGGCAUGGCGGCUGGGGCAGAAAAAAGGAAAGCAAAACAGUUUCUAGUAAAACCAAUCGUUUGAGAUAAGCUCGGGAACCCACAAAUUGUGUGGACCAGAUUCACACAACUAUGGACCCCACAACUUAUUUGGCUUAUAUGAUGAUGCAGGAGG
rnacentral:lncRNA from 1 species